GUUGGAUACGGAGAUGUUUAUCCGAAAGGGAUAUUUGGAAAAAUAGUCGGAAGUCUCACUGUCAUUUCCGGUUUACUGGCCAUUGCUCUUCCGGUUCCGGUCAUUGUGACGAAU
rfam:Crassostrea gigas strain 05x7-T-G4-1.051#20 contig5334, whole genome shotgun sequence.